UACGAAGGGGGCUAGCGUUGCUCGGAAUUACUGGGCGUAAAGGGAGCGUAGGCGGAUAGUUUAGUCAGAGGUGAAAUCCCGGGGCUCAACCUCGGAACUGCCUUUGAUACUGGCUAUCUUGAGUAUGGGAGAGGUGUGUGGAACUCCGAGUGUAGAGGUGAAAUUCGUAGAUAUUCGGAAGAACACCAGUGGCGAAGGCGACACACUGGCCCAUUACUGACGCUGAGGCUCGAAAGCGUGGGGGGCAAACAGG
rnacentral:rRNA from 1 species